rnacentral:lncRNA from 1 species
AUGAGAGCUGGGAUCCUGCUACAACAGCAAUUAGCAUCGCUGACCUGUGAGGAAGAACAAGCCCAGAGAAAACAGGCUUGGAGUGAAAUCAGUGCGGGCUCAGUCAUCAACUCUAUUCGCCCAGAUCUCUGGAGAGAGUGUGUACAGCAACAUCUACUCCCUUGUCAGUGCUUCUGGAUUUCCUGGGGGAUUCUGUUUUGCAAAUCCAUGCAUCACAGGACAAAGGGACACAUCACAGGAAUGGCAUCAAAGAUUUUUUUUUUUGGUCCAUUUGAGCAAAAACUUGGUUACAGUAAAUUUUUAAGUUACACCAAUACUUCAACCUAAAAAGCAACUUACAGAGCAAAGAAUCAAUCAUUCCACUGACCACGUCCCUAAAAAUCUGUCCAGCAGAGGAUCCAGCUGCUUUCAACUUUAUUCUGAAGAGGCAAGGGCUUUCUGAGGGCCCAGAGCUCUCCAGGACACAGAUUCAUCCGGAUCUGGUGCCAGACCUACCUGAGCAGAGGCUCCCUUUGUCUCUCAAAAAGGCAAUUUGCUUUCCAGAGCCACAAGACCACAAGAUACAAAACAGUGGCCAGCACCCACUGCAAUCCUGCAAGAUCCCUUCUGCUCCCCUUGAUUGUGUGGUUCUGUCCCAGCGCCAUUUUUGUGGAAGUCUUUUCACAAGGCACAUGAUCUUGCUGCUGUGGUUUCAGAGGCUCUGACAGCUGUGGCUUCAGCGUUUUCAAUUUCUUUUUGUCACAACAGUUUUACUUUGAAGCCCAGCCAUGGGUACUCAGGGACAGAUCUCACAUUUCGUGUUUCUCUAUCUUCGUGAGGCUACCAAAAGGCUCUCAAUUUACACGAUGUCAGAAACCUGAUUGUAUCAGAGAUGAUGACCUGGGAGAUUAAGAUCGGUUGUUGUCACAGUGGGAGAAGUAUCUGGCUCAGGAUCAAAGGCUUUAUUCUUUCGCUCAUCAUCAAAUACUUAUGUUAUAUAUCAGGUGCCAAACUAGGUGGGGGAUACAAUAAUAAGACUUUCUUCCUUAUCUCAAGUUGCUUACGUUGUGGUGCAACAGAGAGACAGAUACACAAAAAGCAAUGAUAAAGUUAAGUCAAGCUGCUAUGGGAAUAUGUCCAGCCUUUCUGGAGAGUGGGUCCUCAGAGAAGAUUUCUGGAUGAGAGCAGUUGAGGGAAGGAGAGUGAGGAAGGAAUUCCUGGCAGGGGAAAGAGUAUUCCAAGGCCUGGAGGGGAAAGAGAAUAAGGUGUGUUUGGAGGAAUUAUGCAGAGUUCAGUGUGUCUGGAGCAUAGAUUUCAAGUGGUGGAGGGUGGUAAAAUACAAGCCUGA